rnacentral:rRNA from 1 species
AACGCGAAGAACCUUACCUGGGCUUGACAUGCAGGGUGAAACCGUGGAAACACGGUGCUCUACGGAGCCUGCACAGGUGGUGCAUGGCUGUCGUCAGCUCGUGCCGUGAGGUGUUGCCUUAAGUGGCGCAACGAGCGCAACCCUUGUCCUUAGUUGCCAGCGGGUAGAGCCGGGAACUCUAGGGAGACUGCCGGUGCCAAACCGGAGGAAGGUGGGGAUGACGUCAAGUCAUCAUGCCCCUUAUGUCCAGGGCUGCACGCAUGCUACAAUGCGCGGUACAAAGGGUUGCGAUCCCGUAAGGGGGAGCGAAUCCCAGAAGGCCGCGCUCAGUUCGGAUCGGGGUCUGCAACCCGACCCCGUGAAGUCGGAGUCGCUAGUAAUCGCAGAUCAGCAAUGCUGCGGUGAAUACGUUCCCGGGUCUUGUACACACGC